GACGAACGUUGGCGGCGUGCUUAAUACAUGCAUGUCAACUGAAGCAGUGGUAGCAAUAUCGCUGUGGAGGUGGCGCACGGGUGAGUAACACGUAGGUAAUCUGCCUUCAGGUCUGGCAUAACUCCGGGAAACCGGGGCUAAUAGCAGAUGAUGCAGCGGCUCGACAUCGAGACAGUUGUUAAAGCUAUGGCGCCUGAAGAUGAGCCUGCGUCUGAUUAGCUAGUUGGCGGGGUAACGGCCCACCAAGGCAACGAUCAGUAGCUGGUCUGAGAGGAUGAUCAGCCACACUGGAACUGAGACACGGUCCAGACUCCUACGGGAGGCAGCAGUAAGGAAUAUUGCUCAAUGGGAGAAAUCCUGAAGCAGCAACGCCGCGUGAGGGACGAAGGGCUUUUGCUUGUAAACCUCUGUAGUGAGAGAAAAAAAUCCCAAUCUUUGGGACAUGAUGGUAUCUCAAAAGUAAGCCCCGGCUAACUACGUG
rnacentral:rRNA from 1 species